GACGAACGCUGGCGGCGGGCUUAACACAUGCAAGUCGGACGCUCCGGUUUUGGCCGGGGCGUGGCGCACGGGUGCGUAACACGUAGGUAACCUGCCCUCGAGUGGGGAAUAACCCCGGGAAACCGGGGCUAAUACCGCAUACAGACUGGGAGCUGCAUGGCUCUCAGUUGAAAGCCGUGCACCGGUGACGGUGCGGGCGCUCGGGGAUGGGCCUGCGGCGGAUUAGGUAGUUGGUGGGGUAAGGGCCUACCAAGCCUGCGAUCCGUAGCUGGUCUGAGAGGAUGAUCAGCCACACUGGCACUGAGACACGGGCCAGACUCCUACGGGAGGCAGCAGUGAGGAAUUUUGCGCAAUGGAGGCAACUCUGACGCAGCCACGCCGCGUGCAGGAGGACGCCCCUACGGGGUGUAAACUGCUUUUCGGGGGGAAGAGGAAGGACGGUACCCCCGGAAGAAGUCUCGGCUAACUACGUG
rnacentral:rRNA from 1 species